CAAUAGCGUAUAUUAAAGUUGUUGCAGUUAAAAAGCUCGUAGUUGGAUUUCUGACAAGGAUAAUCGGUCCGAACCUUCGGGUUCGUGUACUUGGUUUUUCCUAGUCAUCCUUAUAGAGAACGUGCGUGGCAUUAGGUUGUCGUGUACGGGACCUAUAUCAUUUACUGUGAAAAAUUAGAGUGUUCAAAGCAGGCAAUCGCUGUGAAUACAUUAGCAUGGAAUAAUGGAAUAGGACUACGGUCUCUUUGUUGGUUUGAGGGACUGCAGUAAUGAUUAAUAGGGAUAGUUGGGGGCAUUAGUAUUUAAUUGUCAGAGGUGGAAUUCUCGGAUUUGUUAAAGACUAACUUAUGCGAAAGCAUUUGCCAAGGAUGUUUUCAUUAAUCAAGAACGAAAGUUAGGGGAUCAAAGACGAUUA
rnacentral:rRNA from 1 species